GAAAUGCGAUAAGUAAUGUGAAUUGCAGAAUUCAGUGAAUCAUCGAAUCUUUGAACGCACCUUGCGCUCCUUGGUAUUCCUUGGAGCAUGCCUGUUUGAGUAUCAUGAAAUCUUCAAAGUAAAUCUUUUGUUAACUCAAUUGGUUUCUACUUUGGUAUUGGAGGUCUUUGCAGCUUCACACCUGCUCCUCUUUGUUCAUUAGCUGGAUCUCAGUGUUAUGCUUGGUUCCACUCGGCGUGAUAAGUUAUCUAUCGCUGAGGACACUGUAAAAGGAGGCCAAGGUAAAUGCAGAUGAACCGCUUCUAAUAGUCCAUUGACUUGGACAAUACUUUUAUGAUCUGAUCUCAAAUCAGGUAGGACUACCCGCUGAACUUAAGC
rnacentral:misc_RNA from 1 species